rnacentral:tRNA from 1 species
GUUCUUGUAGAGCAAUGGAUAGCGCGUUGGACUUCUGAUCCAAAGGUCGUGGCUUCGAAUCACACCUGGGAUU